AAGAAAUACAAGGAAAUACAGCAUCGAUUGCCAAAACAUAUAAAGAGCCAAAUACAACAUCUGAAACAAAUUCAGGCUAAACGACUAAACUUCUGAGACAUGCAUGUAUGAAGACUCAAAAUAAGACUAUUAAACUAAUCAAUGACAACCGAAAUUGAAGCCACUUGGCCACUACCCUAGAUUUAUGAUUUUAAUUAAAUAAUGUAAUGAAUAUUUUUACAAAAUUAAUAAAUAAAAAA